rnacentral:rRNA from 1 species
CCUACGGGAGGCAGCAGUGAGGAAUAUUGGUCAAUGGACGCAAGUCUGAACCAGCCAUGCCGCGUGCAGGAAGACGGCUCUAUGAGUUGUAAACUGCUUUUGUACGAGGGUAAACGCAGAUACGCGUAUCUGUCUGAAAGUAUCGUACGAAUAAGGAUCGGCUAACUCCGUGCCAGCAGCCGCGGUAAGACGGAGGAUUCAAGCGUUAUCCGGAUUUAUUGGGUUUAAAGGGUGCGUAGGCGGUCGGAUAAGUUAGAGGGGAAAUCCCGCGGCUCAACUUCGGAAUUGCAUCUGAUACUGUUCGGCUAGAGAGUAGUUGCGGUAGGCGGAAUGUAUGGUGUAGCGGUGAAAUGCUUAGAGAUCAUGCAGAACACCGAUUGCGAAGGCAGCUUACCAAGCUACUUCUGACGUUGAGGCACGAAAGCGUGGGGAGCAAACAGGAUUAGAUACCCGAGUAGUC